GAUGAAGAACGUAGCGAAAUGCGAUAAGUAAUGUGAAUUGCAGAAUUCAGUGAAUUAUCGAAUCUUUGAACGCACAUUGCGCCCCUUGGUAUUCCGAGGGGCAUGCCUGCUCGAGCGUCAUUAUAACCCCUCAAGCUCAGCUUGGUGUUGGGGCCUGCUGCACUGGCAGCCCUUAAAAUCAGUGGCGGCGCCAUCUGGCUCUAAGCGUAGUAAUUCUUCUCGCUAUGGAGUCCUGGUGGAUGCUUGCCAUCAACCCCCAAUUUUUCUAUGGUUGACCUCGGAUCAGGUAGGGAUACCCGCUGAACUUAAGCAUAUCAAUAAGCGGAGGA
rnacentral:misc_RNA from 1 species